ACCUGCCCAACGGAUAAUGCAUGUAGGAUCCGCGAAAGGAUGCACGACUGUGUGUACUGUGGAGUCUGUCUGAUGUCGGGCAGACUCUAUUUUUUUAU
rnacentral:sRNA from 1 species